rnacentral:rRNA from 1 species
GACGAACGCUGGCGGCGUGCUUAACACAUGCAAGUCGAACGAUGAAGUUCCUUCGGGAAUGGAUUAGUGGCGAACGGGUGAGGAACACGUGAGAAACCUGCCUUUCAUUUUGGGAUAACUCCGGAAAACCGGGGCUAAAACCGAAUACUCCGUCUCGGCGGCAUCGCUGAGCCGGGAAAAAAUUUUGAUGAAAGAUGGUCUCGCGGCCUAUCAGCUAGUUGGUGAGGUAAUGGCUCACCAAGGCAACGACGGGUAGCCGGCCUGAGAGGGCGACCGGCCACACUGGGACUGAGACACGGCCCAGACUCCUACGGGAGGCAGCAGUGGGGAAUACUGGGCAAUGGGCGCAAGCCUGACCCAGCGACGCCGCGUGAGGGAUGAAGGCCUUCGGGUUGUAAACCUCUUUCAGUAGGGAAGAAGCGAAAGCGACGGUACCUAAAGAAGAAGCACCGGCUAACUAUGUGCCAGCCGCCGCCGUAA